UACGGAGGUCCCAAGCGUUGUUCGGAAUCCCUGGGCGUAAAGGGAGCGUAGGCGGCGUGGUAAGUCAGAUGUGAAAUCCCGGGGCUCAACCCCGGAACUGCAUCCGAUACUGCCAUGCUAGAGGAUUGGAGAGGUAGCUGGAAUUCUUGGUGUAGCAGUGAAAUGCGUAGAGAUCAAGAGGAACACUCGUGGCGAAAGCAAGCUACUGGACAAUUCCUGACGCUGAGGCUCGAAGGCUAGGGUAGCGAAAGGG
rnacentral:rRNA from 1 species